UUAGCGAGGAAUCAACAACUCCUGAAAAACCAACUUUUUUAUUCGGGCGAAUUUUGGAAUUUGGAAACUACAGCUAUUGCACUAUCAGACGUUCAGGAUACCAUCUACAUCACGGGCAUUUCCACCUUCUCGUCAACCCUGAACCUGCCAUGUUUGAUGCCCUGUAUUCUAAUUCUUUAAUCAUCCAUGGUUAUAGCGUCAGGUUUCAUCAAGCAGCCCCUCUCUGCUUAAGAAGCCAACAGCUGAAGAAAGUUGCAGUCAAGAUUUCGAGCCUUGCUCUAGCCUUGAAGUCUGUGAUGCUGAAGCUGCGAGAGGGACCA